rnacentral:rRNA from 1 species
UACGAAGGGGACUAGCGUUGUUCGGAAUCACUGGGCGUAAAGCGCACGUAGGCGGAUUUGUAAGUCAGGGGUGAAAUCCCGGGGCUCAACCUCGGAACUGCCUUUGAUACUGCAAGUCUUGAGUCCGAUAGAGGUGGGUGGAAUUCCUAGUGUAGAGGUGAAAUUCGUAGAUAUUAGGAAGAACACCGGUGGCGAAGGCGGCCCACUGGAUCGGUACUGACGCUGAGGUGCGAAAGCGUGGGGAGC